rnacentral:rRNA from 1 species
UACGUAGGUGGCGAGCGUUGUCCGGAUUUACUGGGCGUAAAGAGCGCGCAGGCGGUCGUUCAAGUCGCGUGUGAAAGCCCCCGGCUCAACUGGGGAGGGUAACGCGAUACUGAUCGACUCGAAGGCAGGAGAGGGAAGUGGAAUUCCCGGUGUAGUGGUGAAAUGCGUAGAUAUCGGGAGGAACACCAGUGGCGAAGGCGACUUCCUGGCCUGUUCUUGACGCUGAGGCGCGAAAGCUAGGGGAGCAAACGGG